AACUAUGUUAAAGUUUUUAUUCAUGGUACUUAAAAAUUACCUCUUUGAGACCAUUCUUAGAAUAGGUAAUCUGCUCUUUGUCUUCCUUUUCGUUCCUAGUAUGUUCUUCACUAUUUCCUGUGUGAUUCAAUCAGAACAGUGACAGACAUAAGCAAUUUGACAAAAACUAACACA